AGAUUGAACGCUGGCGGCAUGCCUAACACAUGCAAGUCGAACGGUAACGCGGGGGCAACCCUGGCGACGAGUGGCGGACGGGUGAGUAAUACGUAGGAAUCUGCCCAUUUGUGGGGGAUAACCCGGCGAAAGCCGGGCUAAUACCGCAUACGCUCUACGGAGGAAAGCGGGGGAUCGCAAGACCUCGCGCUAAUGGAUGAGCCUACGUCGGAUUAGCUAGUUGGUAGGGUAACGGCCUACCAAGGCGACGAUCCGUAGCUGGUCUGAGAGGACGAUCAGCCACACUGGGACUGAGACACGGCCCAGACCUCCGACGGGAGCAGCA
rnacentral:rRNA from 1 species